GGACUACCAGGGUUUCUAAUCCUGUUUGCUUCCCACGCUUUCGCGUCUCAGUGUCAGUCAUUGCCCAGAGAGCCGCCUUCGCCACUGGUGUUCCUCCCGAUAUCUACGAAUUUCACCUCUACACCGGGAAUUCCGCUCUCCUCUUCAAGACUCCAGUCUGGCAGUAUCGAAUGCUCUUCCUGGGUUGAGCCCAGGGCUUUCACACCCGACUGAUCAGACCACCUACACGCGCUUUACGCCCAGUAAUUCCGAGCAACGUUUGCACCCUCUGUCUUACCGCGGCUGCUGGCAC
rnacentral:rRNA from 1 species